rnacentral:lncRNA from 1 species
UUCCUAGUGACCUCCCGGAGCACUGAGUAAGUCUUUGCAAUGUCUGUCACCACCUCUGAGUUUUGCCAAUUUGCCACAAGUCAGGGUCAUCUGGGGAGAAGGAACUUCAUUUGAGAAAAUUCCUCCAUCGGACUGGCCUGUAGGCAAGUGUGGAGCAUUUUCUUGAUUAAUAGAUGAUGUGGGAUCCACAGUGGUCCAGGCCUUCCCACCACGGGCAGAGGGUCCCCGGGUGGCAUAAGAAAGCAAGAUGAACAAGACAUGACAAGCAAGCUGCUGACAUCCACCUCCCCUGGCUUGCUGGAGAGAAAGAAUGUUGACUUCGCUGAGAAAACCGGGUGGGAGGAGGUACAAGGUGGGAAGAACCGGUGAAAACCGCUCCACCCUUCCUGAACAGUGGUGUUCGUGAGCAGGAUGGUCACUAGCUAAGCUUGGGGCUAGCUCCCAGUGAGCCCAGUUAUAUUUCCAGUCCCAUUGAGGAUCGGGAGACGCAAAGUCCGCAUCCACAAUGCGAGGAGACCUUCCUGGAUAGUGGCAGGUCUUGCCCUGAUAGCUCUUGAUAGCGCUCGCACAAGAUGCGCACCGGCACACCCCAGGCUUGGAUUCAGCAGCCUGCAAGGAGGCGUGGGUAUUGUACCCCACCUCCACCGCAUCCCGCGCCCCUUGCCUCUCGCUCCU